AUUGAACGCUGGCGGCAGGCUUAACACAUGCAAGUCGAGCGGGGGAAGGUAGCUUGCUACCGGACCUAGCGGCGGACGGGUGAGUAAUGCUUAGGAAUCUGCCUAUUAGUGGGGGACAACAUCUCGAAAGGGAUGCUAAUACCGCAUACGUCCUACGGGAGAAAGCAGGGGAUCUUCGGACCUUGCGCUAAUAGAUGAGCCUAAGUCGGAUUAGCUAGUUGGUGGGGUAAAGGCCUACCAAGGCGACGAUCUGUAGCGGGUCUGAGAGGAUGAUCCGCCACACUGGGACUGGAACACGGCCCAGACUCCUACGGGAGGCAGCAGUGGGGAAUAUUGGACAAUGGGGGGAACCCUGAUCCAGCCGUGCCGCGUGUGUGAAGAAGGCCUUAUGGUUGUAAAGCACUUUAAGCGAGGAGGAGGCUACUCUAGUUAAUACCUAGGGAUAGUGGACGUUACUCGCAGAAUAAGCACCGGCUAACUCUGUGCCAGCCGCCGCCGUAA
rnacentral:rRNA from 1 species